rnacentral:rRNA from 1 species
AGUGAACGCUGGCGGUAGGCCUAACACAUGCAAGUCGAACGGCAGCACAGGAGAGCUUGCUCUCUAGGUGGCGAGUGGCGGACGGGUGAGGAAUACAUCGGAAUCUGCCCAGUCGUGGGGGAUAACGUAGGGAAACUUACGCUAAUACCGCAUACGACCUUCGGGUGAAAGAGGGGGAUCGCAAGACCUCUCGCGAUUGGAUGAGCCGAUGUCGGAUUAGCUAGUCAGCGGGGUAAUGGCCCACCAAGGCGACGAUCCGUAGCUGGUCUGAGAGGAUGAUCAGCCACACUGGAACUGAGACACGGUCCAGACUCCUACGGGAGGCAGCAGUGGGGAAUAUUGGACAAUGGGCGCAAGCCUGAUCCAGCCAUACCGCGUGGGUGAAGAAGGCCUUCGGGUUGUAAAGCCCUUUUGUUGGGAAAGAAAUCUUUCAGGCUAAUACCCUGGGAGGAUGACGGUACCCAAAGAAUAAGCACCGGCUAACUUCGUG